rnacentral:ncRNA from 1 species
UAAAAAGGGGUGCUCAAUUCAUUUGGGCUGAGAUCAUACCCUAAGAACCUGAUGCGGGUAAUACCGCCGUAGGGAAAGGUAUUUU